GGGCGGCAGCGAUGGCAUCAGCAUCAGGCAGCUUCAGCGUGACCUGCGCGACAGCUUCCGGCGCCAGGCAGACCACCCUGGUGGGCGGCAUGUUGGCCCCCCGGCCAUAGGGGUGCCAGAAGCCAUUAGGAUAGCAGGAGUCUUCUUUGGUGCCCUCUAGCACCGUCUCAUCGUUGCCGUCCGCCCUCUCACGCCCUGCUGGCACCAGCAUAAGAACUUGAGUGGUCCGCUCGUAGCCGCUUGCUUGAAGAAUCCCUAGUCCCUACUCUCUAUGAAUUUAUGAAUCUGUGGGUCUUUAAUUAGACAUCUACAUAAGUUAUGUGUGAUUGUACAGUUGUUUCGAGCUCCCCAGCCCCUCAUACUGCAACUCAAAUUGGAUUUGGGCAGGCCAUAUCUCUUCCGCGCCAUUUACUCAGCUGCUCCUCUAGAUUGGGCAGACUAAAAUUCGAGGGGGUUGCGAUACUCUGCCCCCAAAUCUGUGAGUAAAGGAGGAGCGAUAAGGGCAGGGAUGUCCACAAUCAAGGGUCACCUGCGCGCGGCCAGGACUUGACGGACUGGUCUGCCGUGCGGAUCAUCUUCAUGCGGAACUUGCCGUCCACGUCGCGCUCCUGGAAUGUUCUUAGCCAAAUGUCCUGGAAACGUAUGUCGUCCUCAGACACGCCGCUGGGAGAGAAGCUCACAAAUUUGCCCAGCCAGCCUGAUGCGUUUUCUGGC
rnacentral:lncRNA from 1 species